AACGAACGUUGGCGGCGUGGAUUAGGCAUGCAAGUCGAGCGAAUCCCAGCUUUGUAGUAAUACAGAGUUGGGGGAAGCGGCGCAAGGGGCAGUAAUGCAUGGAUAACCUACCCUGGGGACGGGGAUAGCUUUUCUAACGAGAAGGUAAUACCCGAUGAUGUGGCCGGUGGAUGCACUGGUUACCAAAUGAAUUUCGCCCUGGGAGGGGUUCAUGUGGUAUUAGCUUGUUGGUGAGGUAACGGCUCACCAAGGCAAAGAUGCCUAGCUGGUGUGAGAGCAUGACCAGCGCCACUGGGACUGAGACACUGCCCAGACUCCUACGGGAGGCUGCAGUCGAGGAUCUUCCACAAUGGGCGAAAGCCUGAUGGAGCGACGCCGCGUGUGCGAUGAAGGCCUUCGGGUUGUAAAGCACUGUCGAGGGGGAGAAAAGGAAACUUGAUCGACCCCUGGAGGAAGGACGGGCUAAGUUCGUGCCAGCAGCCGCGGUA
rnacentral:rRNA from 1 species